rnacentral:rRNA from 1 species
GUUUACGGCCAUACCAGCCUGGGUACGCCCGAUCUCGUCUGAUCUCGGAAGCUAAGCAGGGUCGGGCCUGGUUAGUACUUGGAUGGGACACCGCCUGGGAAUACCAGGUGCUGUAAGCU